GGCCGCCGCGCCUCCCGCGCGCCAGCGGCCCCUCGCCGCGCCGUCCGCACCAGCUUUGGCAGUCUUCCAACCCUUGGUCAAUCUUCCAGCUUUGGCCGUCCGCGCCAGGAGGAUCUUUGGCUGUCGGCUUUUCCUAUAGGGACAGAGUGGGAAAAUAUUGAUAAGAUUAAGGAGUUCAACUGGAAUUUUGAAAAUUUAGAGAAAGCUCUAGAAGAAGGGGGGGAAGCUGUAUGGGAAUACGGUCUAUGUAUUUGGCAGCACUGAGCCUCAACUGUUGAAUGUUGAUGGUGAAUCAAAGAUAGUGCUUAUUCCAGUUGUAGUUGCGGUCAGUUUCCUUCCAUUCCUUUUACCUGAUAAUUUAUCUCCUCAUUUUCUUUGGUAUUCUAUUUUAUAUGCAAAUUCGUCGAUGCGAGACUUGGACCAUGAAUUUCCUUCAGUUGCUUAUUUUGUAGUAGUAUACUCCUUUGUGACAAUCAAGAAUAUGCUAGCCGUAUUGCCAGCAUUAUAUGUAUAUACUCCAUAUGGUAGUAUAUACUCUGAGAAUUGGUGUAUAUACCUUAUUUGUAAAAUAGUAUGUAUAUACUUCUUGCUAACUACUCUGUAUUAUCAUGGUGGGUUAAAUAGUUUUUGGUCUUCUAACUCUCUAGGAUAAUUAGCAUCUUUGUGAGCCUUUUUCAGAUUAAAAUAACCUAUUGAUUUGAUCAAUAGAAUAGAUCUCUCUUUUUAAAUAGUGGUAGUUUCUCCAAAGUUCUACUAAUUUAAUUCAUUAUUUUGGUAUCCAGAUCCAAUAGCCUUGCUGUUUAUAUCUUCUUCUAAUAAAUCAAUUUACAGUGCCACAGUUAAAUAAGAUGCAAAUUCAUGUAUUGCUCGAAUUUCAAUCCUGCACUUUAUCUAUGUUGCUUGCUCUGAACUCUGUAAAAGGUACAUUGCACAUGCUGUUCACCUCUUUCUGUACUUUGUUGGUUCUUCUUAACAUUUGUGUUUUUCCUAUAAGAUGACGAAGAGUAAUCCAGACAAAGUUCCACGAACGACUACGCAUCGUUCCCCAUUUACAGACAUAACGAACUCGUCUACCAUUGAUAACGCAAAUGUCACUACUAAUAGCCAGGGACUAUUUUGAAUAUUUACAUGUAAAGUAUCCAUCCUUUUUUCUGUAUACCUUUCGUGUUUUUUCUUCUAACAUCAGCACUUCAGCAGAAGAUGUCGUAAACCGUGUAAUGUGGCAACACCAAGAAGGCCACCAUCAAGGCGAAGCUGCAAACAUGCAGAGCAGCAGCAGAGGCUUAGAGGAAGGCGCUGCAGCGUGGAUGCACAUGGGAUGUUGCAGAUACAUGUAACAAAGAGGAGGAGCUCAGGGAGCUGAGUGUGAAAGGAUAAAGGAGUCAGGAAGGAGAAAUCAUAUGUUGGCUUAAUUAAUGCUUCCUAAUCAGUAUGCUUUCCAUAUUGCCGUUUAUUGAACUAAUAUAGUUUGCUUUUGAUUAAGGAUCUUGACAUGGCAUGCCGUUUUUGAUUUUCUGUAGCUUUUGUUGAUCUUCUCCUUGUUCGGCUUAAAUUUCUCAUUGUUUUUCCUAUUCCUUUGCAGGAACAUGAACCUGAUGAUGACCCAUAGGUGGAUGUUUGUGAGAGGUACGUGUGUUAGCUCAUAAGCGUAUGAGAAUACAAUCAUGAUGUGUAUAAUUAUUCAGUUAUACUUUUUAUCCAUGCCUCAACAAUCGACCAAAUUAAACGACAGGAUGAACAUUCAGACUUUAUUGAUGACUGGGAUUCUAGGAAGACCAUUACAUACUCGACCAGCCCACCUGUCAUCGCAAGACAAGCUAAAAGUAAAGCAACAUAAAAAUUGUUAGCCUUCCCAAAGGCGAAUUUCUGCACAACAUUCUGGGAAUUCACCUAUUUGUAUCCGUACAUUUUCACCUUGACUAUAAGUGGAAAGGUUUGCUAUAUUUAUUUAACUAUCAUUCUGCCGUCGCUGACCAUCAUUAUUCGGCCGUAAUCCCGGCGUCCUCCUAGCAUCACCCUGCUGUGCCCCUGGCCAAUUGCCUAGAGAUGCCAUCCAAGCGCGUGUGGCUGCAAAAGUGCUUCAUAUGAUGAAAGAUGGUAUCAUUGACCCAGUGAAAAUGAUCCAAACUGUACUUCAAGGUGCAGCAAGGUACAACUUCAGUUCUCUAACCAUGUACUUUAUGUAUGACCAUGACAGAAGUAAUCAGAGUUGUUUGACUAUUUGUGCUUCUGUAGUUCUGUACAAUGUUUAUCCGCUGAUCACAACCAUAGAGGUUGCAGAUGAGCAAAAUGGGUUUUGAGGACAGUGCGGCAUUGUGUUUGCACUUGUUUUGAUAGAAUGGAAUGCAUGUCUCAUAUGACCAGUUCUAAGAAAUACAAGCAUAGUUUGAGGUAAACUAGCCAGAAAACUAAGGUUACUUUUAAGUAAGGAUAGGGCCAUGGAUUACAUGAUUGCUUUUCAAAACACAACAUCAGAUGUAGUUGAGCACACCGCUUCGGUUGGUGGAAGUUUGAACUUCGUAUUCAUAUUAAUCCAUGUAUAAGUUUAUUGACGGUAAUUGUUUCAUCUGAUGGUACUGCUAUUGUGUCACAAAGAACAAGUACUCUGAUGAUGCCUCACAAAGAAAAAGUUCUUACGACAAUAAAGUGAUGUUGACUAUUGUUGGGGGAGGUGAGGAUGCCGAUGAAAAGAGAAGAGUUUGUCUUCUGUCCGACAGGAUUUGGUUGUAAAUCUUUGUUCAUUACUUCAGGUGUGCAUUGAGCGUACAUGAUCUGCUCAAAAAAACAAAUUGAUUGGCAAGUUUUGAUUAUAUCUAAAGAAGGACAUGGGCAAUGCUCGAUUGGCAAGUUUGGAUUAUAUCUAAAGAUCGACAUGGACAAUGCUCGAUUGACAAAUUUUGAUUUUUUUUUCUUGCUAGAAAUGAUACCAACACAAGUGCUUAGCAUGAUAAAUAUGUUUGCUUAUAUUCUGAGUGGAAGUUACAUGGAUUUUUUGGGUACAUUA